AUGAAAUUAAAUUGAAAGAAGGAUGCAUAAUAAUGCUUCUCAGAAAUAUUGAUCCAUCUAAUGAGCUUUGCAAUGGCACCAGACUGAUAGUAACUCAACUUGGGGAACGCGUAAUUGAAGGCAAACUCAUUUCAGGAAAAAAUUCGGGCAAGAAGUUUCCAAUAGCUAGAAUGAUUAUGAGUCCAUCAGAUUUCGCUAAAUUUCCAAUUCGGUUUCAGAGAAGGCAAUUUCCUGUGAGUGUUUGUUUUGCUAUGACAAUAAAUAAAAGCCAGGGACAAUCUCUUUCAAAUGUAGGAUUAUACCUACCGAAAUCAGUUUUUAGUCAUGGACAACUCUACGUGGCAAUCUCAAGAGUCACUAGAAAAAGAGGUUUAAAGAUUUUAGUAUGUGAUGAGAGUGGUCAUACGUAAGACACAACAACUAAUGUUGUGUAUGAUGAAAUUUUCGAUAGAUUAUGAGGUUGAUUUGAUAUGUGCGUGCUGCUUGUGAUUGGAGGGAAGAAAGGUACAAUAAAUCACAUCAUAUUUUUUCAUGUUCAUAGAUAAAAUAUGUUAUAUAAGGAUGGUUGAGCCGAGUCGGUUUGGUAACGAUGGUUAGGCCGGAGUUCUUGAAACUGACCUUCCCGCUCUUCUUUCCUUUCCUUUUUGUUUUCGUUUUAGACGAGUACUCUUUUUUCCUUCUACGGUUUUUCCUACCGGGUUUUCCGUAAAAGGGUUUUAAUGAGGCUCGGCCCUUAGUCUGUUUCUUUUGUACUUUCAAGGGUUUCUUAGGUUUUUCUUUUCUUUUAUACAUAAUAGCAUGAGGAUGGAUAUAUUUCGUCUUUUACUGUAUCAUGUUUCGGCUUCA